rnacentral:rRNA from 1 species
AAAUUGAAGAGUUUGAUCAUGGCUCAGAUUGAACGCUGGCGGCAGGCCUAACACAUGCAAGUCGAACGGUAGCACAGAGAGCUUGCUCUCGGGUGACGAGUGGCGGACGGGUGAGUAAUGUCUGGGAAACUGCCUGAUGGAGGGGGAUAACUACUGGAAACGGUAGCUAAUACCGCAUAACGUCGCAAGACCAAAGAGGGGGACCUUCGGGCCUCUUGCCAUCAGAUGUGCCCAGAUGGGAUUAGCUAGUAGGUGGGGUAACGGCUCACCUAGGCGACGAUCCCUAGCUGGUCUGAGAGGAUGACCAGCCACACUGGAACUGAGACACGGUCCAGACUCCUACGGGAGGCAGCAGUGGGGAAUAUUGCACAAUGGGCGCAAGCCUGAUGCAGCCAUGCCGCGUGUAUGAAGAAGGCCUUCGGGUUGUAAAGUACUUUCAGCGGGGAGGAAGGUGUUGUGGUUAAUAACCGCAGCAAUUGACGUUACCCGCAGAAGAAGCACCGGCUAACUCCGUGCCAGCAGCCGCGGUAAUACGGAGGGUGCAAGCGUUAAUCGGAAUUACUGGGCGUAAAGCGCACGCAGGCGGUCUGUCAAGUCGGAUGUGAAAUCCCCGGGCUCAACCUGGGAACUGCAUUCGAAACUGGCAGGCUAGAGUCUUGUAGAGGGGGGUAGAAUUCCAGGUGUAGCGGUGAAAUGCGUAGAGAUCUGGAGGAAUACCGGUGGCGAAGGCGGCCCCCUGGACAAAGACUGACGCUCAGGUGCGAAAGCGUGGGGAGCAAACAGGAUUAGAUACCCUGGUAGUCCACGCCGUAAACGAUGUCGAUUUGGAGGUUGUGCCCUUGAGGCGUGGCUUCCGGAGCUAACGCGUUAAAUCGACCGCCUGGGGAGUACGGCCGCAAGGUUAAAACUCAAAUGAAUUGACGGGGGCCCGCACAAGCGGUGGAGCAUGUGGUUUAAUUCGAUGCAACGCGAAGAACCUUACCUGGUCUUGACAUCCACAGAACUUUCCAGAGAUGGAUUGGUGCCUUCGGGAACUGUGAGACAGGUGCUGCAUGGCUGUCGUCAGCUCGUGUUGUGAAAUGUUGGGUUAAGUCCCGCAACGAGCGCAACCCUUAUCCUUUGUUGCCAGCGGUCCGGCCGGGAACUCAAAGGAGACUGCCAGUGAUAAACUGGAGGAAGGUGGGGAUGACGUCAAGUCAUCAUGGCCCUUACGACCAGGGCUACACACGUGCUACAAUGGCGCAUACAAAGAGAAGCGACCUCGCGAGAGCAAGCGGACCUCAUAAAGUGCGUCGUAGUCCGGAUUGGAGUCUGCAACUCGACUCCAUGAAGUCGGAAUCGCUAGUAAUCGUAGAUCAGAAUGCUACGGUGAAUACGUUCCCGGGCCUUGUACACACCGCCCGUCACACCAUGGGAGUGGGUUGCAAAAGAAGUAGGUAGCUUAACCUUCGGGAGGGCGCUUACCACUUUGUGAUUCAUGACUGGGGUGAAGUCGUAACAAGGUAACCGUAGGGGAACCUGCGGUUGGAUCACCUCCUUA